CCUACGGGCGGCAGCAGUGAGGAAUAUUGGUCAAUGGGCGCUAGCCUGAACCAGCCAAGUAGCGUGAAGGAUGACUGCCCUCUGGGUUGUAAACUUCUUUUAUAUGGGAAUAAAGUGCAGUAUGUAUACUGCUUUGCAUGUACCUUAUGAAUAAGGAUCGGCUAACUCCGUGCCAGCAGCCGCGGUAAUACGGAGGAUCCGAGCGUUAUCCGGGUUUCUUGGGUUUAAGGGGCACGGAGGCGGGUUGUUAAGUUUGUGGUGAAAGUUUGCGGCUCAACCGUAAAAUUGCAGUUGAUACUGGCAUCCUUGAGUACAGUAGAGGUAGGCGGAAUUCGUGGUGUAGCGGUGAAAUGCUUAGAUAUCACGAAGAACUCCAAUUGCGAAGGCAGCCUGCUGGACUGUAACUGACGCUGAUGCUCGAAAGUGUGGGUAUCAAACAGGAUUAGAUACCCGUGUAGUC
rnacentral:rRNA from 1 species